rnacentral:rRNA from 1 species
ACGGGUGAGUAACACGUGAGUAACCUGCCCCAGACUCUGGGAUAAGCCUUGGAAACGAGGUCUAAUACCGGAUACGCAACUCCAUCGCAUGGUGAGGGUUGGGAAAGUUUUUCGGUCUGGGAUGGACUCGCGGCCUAUCAGCUUGUUGGUGAGGUAAUGGCUCACCAAGGCGACGACGGGUAGCCGGCCUGAGAGGGCGACCGGCCACACUGGAACUGAGACACGGUCCAGACUCCUACGGGAGGCAGCAGUGGGGAAUAUUGCACAAUGGGCGCAAGCCUGAUGCAGCGACGCCGCGUGGGGGAUGAAGGCCUUCGGGUUGUAAACCCCUUUCAGCAGGGAAGAAGCGAAAGUGACGUUACCUGCAGAAGAAGCGCCGGCUAACUACGUGCCAGCAGCCGCGGUAAUACGUAGGGCGCAAGCGUUGUCCGGAAUUAUUGGGCGUAAAGAGCUCGUAGGCGGUUCGUCGCGUCUGCUGUGAAAGCCCGAGGCUCAACCUCGGGUCUGCAGUGGGUACGGGCGGACUAGAGUGUGGUAGGGGAGACUGGAAUUCCUGGUGUAGCGGUGGAAUGCGCAGAUAUCAGGAGGAACACCAAUGGCGAAGGCAGGUCUCUGGGCCACAACUGACGCUGAGGAGCGAAAGCGUGGGGAGCGAACAGGAUUAGAUACCCUGGUAGUCCACGCCGUAAACGGUGGGCACUAGAUGUGGGGCUCUUUCCAUGAGUUCCGCGUCGCAGCUAACGCAUUAAGUGCCCCGCCUGGGGAGUACGGCCGCAAGGCUAAAACUCAAAGGAAUUGACGGGGGCCCGCACAAGCGGCGGAGCAUGCGGAUUAAUUCGAUGCAACGCGAAGAACCUUACCAAGGCUUGACAU